AAUACGACUCACUAUAGGGCGAAUUGGGCCCGACGUCGCAUGCUCCCGGCCGCCAUGGCGGCCGCGGGAAUUCGAUUAGAGUUUGAUCAUGGCUCAGAUUGAACGCUGGCGGCAGGCUUAACACAUGCAAGUCGAGCGGAAACGAUACCAGCUUGCUGGUAGGCGUCGAGCGGCGGACGGGUGAGUAACACUUAGGAAUCUACCUAGUAGUGGGGGAUAGCUCGGGGAAACUCGAAUUAAUACCGCAUACGUCCUACGGGAGAAAGGGGGCAACUUGUUGCUCUCGCUAUUAGAUGAGCCUAAGUCGGAUUAGCUAGUUGGUGGGGUAAAGGCCUACCAAGGCGACGAUCUGUAGCUGGUCUGAGAGGAUGAUCAGCCACACCGGGACUGAGACACGGCCCGGACUCCUACGGGAGGCAGCAGUGGGGAAUAUUGGACAAUGGGGGCAACCCUGAUCCAGCCAUGCCGCGUGUGUGAAGAAGGCCUUUUGGUUGUAAAGCACUUUAAGCAGUGAAGAAGACCUAACGGUUAAUACCCGUUAGCGAUGACAUUAGCUGCAGAAUAAGCACCGGCUAACUCUGUGCCAGCAGCCGCGGUAAUACAGAGGGUGCAAGCGUUAAUCGGAAUUACUGGGCGUAAAGCGAGCGUAGGUGGCUUGAUAAGUCAGAUGUGAAAUCCCCGGGCUUAACCUGGGAACUGCAUCUGAUACUGUUAGGCUAGAAUAGGUGAGAGGAAGGUAGAAUUCCAGGUGUAGCGGUGAAAUGCGUAGAGAUCUGGAGGAAUACCGAUGGCGAAGGCAGCCUUCUGGCAUCAUAUUGACACUGAGGUUCGAAAGCGUGGGUAGCAAACAGGAUUAGAUACCCUGGUAGUCCACGCCGUAAACGAUGUCUACUAGUCGUUGGGUCCCUUGAGGACUUAGUGACGCAGCUAACGCAAUAAGUAG
rnacentral:rRNA from 1 species